GAUGAACGCUAGCGGCAGGCUUAAUACAUGCAAGUCGAACGGGAUUCAGAGUAGCAAUACUUUGAUGAGAGUGGCGCACGGGUGCGUAACGCGUAUGCAACCUACCUUUAACUGGGGCACAACCAGGAGAAAUCUUGGCUAAUAUCCCAUAACAUUGCGAUGAGGAGUCUCAUUGCAAUUAAAGCUCCGGCGGUUAUAGAUGGGCAUGCGUGACAUUAGCUAGUUGGUAAGGUAACGGCUUACCAAGGCGACGAUGUCUAGGGGUUCUGAGAGGAUUAUCCCCCACACUGGUACUGAGACACGGACCAGACUCCUACGGGAGGCAGCAGUAAGGAAUAUUGGGCAAUGGGCGCAAGCCUGACCCAGCCAUGCCGCGUGAAG
rnacentral:rRNA from 1 species